AGACCUGCCUCUACAGCCUAGGAAGCCUGGUUAGGACCAAGGCCAGGGAAAGCCACUUGCUCCCAGCGCUGGCAUCUCCUGAGUCCAGAUCUUGGAGGACAGAUCCUAGAAGGGACCUAGCAUUACUCAUCUGAGGUGGACAAUCCGCAUGAAGCAGGACUUCUGAAUCCUGUUCGACAGCUAUUCCCUAAGAGCGUCCUGUGAGGCAGGAGCAAUGCUGAGAUAAACACGGCCCCCAGCAGCCAGGGGUGAGGACCCGGCGGGAAGCAGGUCUGUGGCUCAACUCUUGUCCCCGGCACACUGCAGGAAGGGCUGCAGCGAGGAAAACACCAGGGAUUAGGAUUACAUGGAUCCUUUGACAUGCAUGAUCCAAACUCAAACUGAUGGUCUUGGAGGCCCACACAGCGAGCAAUGCAGGCACUGGGUUAAGACUGGAGAAGCUGCCUUGAAGGGAAAAAUGUGUGCAAAGAAAUGAUGGCCCCUGAGGACAGACUCUGGAC